rnacentral:rRNA from 1 species
GCCUACGGGGGGCAGCAGUGGGGGAUAUUGCACAAUGGGGGAAACCCUGAUGCAGCGACGCCGCGUGAGCGAUGAAGUAUUUCGGUAUGUAAAGCUCUAUCCGCAGGGAAGAAAAUGACGGUACCUGACUAAGAAGCCCCGGCUAACUACGUGCCAGCAGCCGCGGUAAUACGUAGGGGGCAAGCGUUAUCCGGAUUUACUGGGUGUAAAGGGAGCGUAGACGGCAGUGCAAGUCUGAAGUGAAAGGCAAGGGCUCAACCUUGGACUGCUUUGGAAACUGUGCUGCUGGAGUGUCGGAGAGGCAA